rnacentral:siRNA from 1 species
UCUGGAAACAGAGAAACAAUGUGU